GACGAACGCUGGCGGCGUGCUUAACACAUGCAAGUCGAACGGAAAGGCCCUGCUUUUGUGGGGUACUCGAAUGGCGAACUGGUGAGUAACACGUGAGUAACCUGCCCUUGACUUUGGGGUAACUUCAGGAAACUGGGGCUAAUACCGGAUAGGAGCUCCUGCUGCAUGGUGGGGGUUGGAAAGUUUCGGCGGUUGGGGAUGGACUCGCGGCUUAUCAGCUUGUUGGUGGGGUAGUGGCUUACCAAGGCUUUGACGGGUAGCCGGCCUGAGAGGGUGACCGGCCACAUUGGGACUGAGAUACGGCCCAGACUCCUACGGGAGGCAGCAGGGGGGAAUAUUGCACAAUGGGCGGAAGCCUGAUGCAGCAACGCCGCGUGCGGGAUGACGGCCUUCGGGUUGUAAACCGCUUUCGCCUGUGACGAAGCGUGAGUGACGGUAAUGGGUAAAGAAGCACCGGCUAACUACGUG
rnacentral:rRNA from 1 species